GAUUGAUUAGUUUAAGAUAAAACUAAUGUUUUGAAAACAUUUAAUAGAAUAAAAAAUUUCUAUCAAUCG
rnacentral:tRNA from 1 species